CCUACGGGAGGCUGCAGUGGGGGAUAUUGCACAAUGGGGGAAACCCUGAUGCAGCGACGCCGCGUGGGUGAAGGAGCGUUUCGGCGCGUAAAGCCCUAUCGGCAGGGAAGAAGGUGGCGGGUCCUUGACUAAGAAGCCCCGGCUAACUACGGGCCAGCAGCCGCGGUAAUACGUAGGGGGCAAGCGUGAGCCGGUUUUACUGGGGGGAAAGGGGGCGCAGACGGCAGCGAAAGCCAGGAGUGAAAGGCCGGGGCCCAACCCCGGGACUGCUUUUGGAACUGCGCGGCUGGAGUGCAGGAGGGGUAGGCGGAAUUCCUGGGGUAGCGGUGAAAUGCGUAGAUAGCAGGAGGAACACCGGUGGCGAAGGCGGCCUGCUGGACUGCGACUGACGUUGAGGCCCGAAAGCGUGGGGAGCAAACAGGAUUAGAUACCCCGGUAGUC
rnacentral:rRNA from 1 species